ensembl:lncRNA
CAGGGCAGGCCCUAAAGCUGCCUGGCUAACAUGGCACUGCAGAAGGAACAGCACAUUCACACCACCAGGAUGCUGGGAUCUUAGGGCUGAAGCUGUCCCAGUUUGGGGCCUUGCCCAUUGCAGGCAAGGAACAGGGGCUGAGGGCCAAGGAAGAGGCCGGGAGCCUGGAAACCUCAGUAGAAGAAGGAGCUGCUGCAGAACAUCCUGAUGCUACUGCUGCUCUCACCAGAUUGGUAAUCCUCCCGACAUAAGCUUCGUGAAGAUUAGCUGGACCUGGGAUUGGUGUGCCAGGUUUGUUGGACUACAGUAUGCAAUACCAACUUGAAAGGAGCACUCUAAUACUUCAUGACAACCGGCAAACAAGAUAGCAAGA